AGUUUUAUUGACACGGAUGGAAAAGUGAUACAACAAGACGUUGCUGUUCCGUGUGUUGUUCCUGCAAAUUGCCAGAAAUGUUUAAAAACUGGAAAACUUCGUCUCCAUCCUGGAUCAGGAAAAAUCGCAGUUGUUACAAAAGAAGGACGCUUUGAUUUGAGCUAUCCGGAAUUUAAAUGUUCAGAAUGUGAAGGUGUGAUGAUAGCAGCCGAGAAUGAUUUAAUUUCAUCCGGAU